rnacentral:rRNA from 1 species
GGGUUGUGAGGUUAAGCGACUAAGCGUACACGGUGGAUGCCCUGGCAGUCAGAGGCGAUGAAGGACGUGCUAAUCUGCGAAAAGCGUCGGUAAGGUGAUAUGAACCGUUACAGCCGGCGAUGUCCGAAUGGGGAAACCCAGUGCAAUUCGUUGCACUAUCGUUAACUGAAUACAUAGGUUAACGAGGCGAACCGGGGGAACUGAAACAUCUAAGUACCCCGAGGAAAAGAAAUCAACCGAGAUUCCCCCAGUAGCGGCGAGCGAACGGGGAGCAGCCCAGAGUCUGAAUCAGCUUGUGUGUUAGUGGAACGGUCUGGAAAGUCCGACGGUACAGGGUGAUAGUCCCGUACACCAAAAUGCACAGGCUGUGAACUCGAAGAGUAGGGCGGGACACGUGGUAUCCUG